rnacentral:lncRNA from 1 species
GGCUGGAUGUUCUUUGCUAGGCUGCUGAGUCAGAAGCCUGGACGGGCCAGCUUCAGUCUUAAUGAACUGGCUCAGGAAGGAAGUGCUAACAGAGAUGGGUGCACUGUGCAGUCAGUAGUGGGAGCUGAUGCCGGCUAGAAGAACUGAGCCUUGUGAGAGGCAGUCUGAUUCCUUGGAAAGAGCAUUGGCUGGAAGUCUGGAGGCCUGGGCUAGUCUCUGCUCUGCCACUAACUUGCUGCAUGACCCUGGCUUUGCCAGAAGGGCAGAGAGACACUGAUGAACAUUCACCCUGUCAGGUAAAGGUUUACUUCAAUUAAAAGUUUAUCAAGGGACCAGCCCAGUGGUGCAGCGGUUAAGUGCGCACGUUCCGCUUCUCAGCGGCCCAGGGUUUGACAGUUCGGAUCCUGGGUGCGGACAUGGCACCGCUUGGCAUGCCAUGCUGUGG